rnacentral:rRNA from 1 species
CCUACGGGGGGCAGCAGUGGGGAAUAUUGCACAAUGGGCGCAAGCCUGAUGCAGCCAUGCCGCGUGUGUGAAGAAGGCCUUCGGGUUGUAAAGCACUCUCAGCGGGGAGGAAGGCGGUGAGGUUAAUAACCUCAUCGAUUGACGUUACCCGCAGAAGAAGCACCGGCUAACUCCGUGCCAGCAGCCGCGGUAAUACGGAGGGUGCAAGCGUUAAUCGGAAUUACUGGGCGUAAAGCGCACGCAGGCGGUCUGUCAAGUCGGAUGUGAAAUCCCCGGGCUCAACCUGGGAACUGCAUUCGAAACUGGCAGGCUAGAGUCUUGUAGAGGGGGGUAGAAUUCCAGGUGUAGCGGUGAAAUGCGUAGAGAUCUGGAGGAAUACCGGUGGCGAAGGCGGCCCCCUGGACAAAGACUGACGCUCAGGUGCGAAAGCGUGGGGAGCAAACAGGAUUAGAUACCCUAGUAGUC